AAUCCGCCAACUUGCUCUCCCAGGUCCAAACAACUCAUCCAAGGUAUUACGAAGCACUCGGAAUAAUUAACGGACCUCACCAUCUCGUCCACUACCAUACUUCGGUUAAUUCGACUGAAGUUCGGUUCGACCUAGUUUCGGUAUAUUACAAUAAUGAAUCAACUUUUAAUUUCUCCUUAUCUCUAAAAUAGAAAAAAAAUAUACUUAUCCAAAUUUUUGCCAACCGAAAUAUAUCUACUAUGAAUCUAUAUUUUAAUUCAAAAUUUGUUUAAUUUCUUUUAUCUCUAAAAUAGAAAAAAUUCAUGCUUAUCCAAAUAUUUGCCAGAAUACCUACUUUAAAUCUAUAUUUCAAUUCAAAAUUUAAAAUUAAUUUAAAACUUUAAAUUUUGGGACUAUCAAUAUAUUACAAUGAAAAUAAUUUAAAAGAUAGAUUGGUUGAUAAAUUUGUAAAUCAUAUUUUUGAAUUAAUAUGAUGUACAAAUUUAUGAUCAAUUUGUAAAAAAUUAUUUCAAAUAAGAAUGAACGGUAAUGAUCAAUUUGUUAAAAAAAAUAUUUAUACCCAUCUACAAAUUCAAUUCUACGAACGGUUAUGAUAAAUUGGUUAAAAAUAUUUGAAAUAAAAAUAAACGGUUAUGAUUAAUCUGUUAAAAAAUAGCACUUUUAUCCAACUAUUUUACAUUAAAACUUAAAUUUGAGUUUAAAUCGUAAAUUAAAAUUAAUUUUUGAUUUUUGAUAUUAAAAUUGAAUUAACAAUUAAAAAAUUUAAAUUAUAUAAUGGAUCAAAAUUAAAUUUUAAAUUUUGAAAUAAAUAUCAAUUAAAUUUUGAUGCUUUUAGUUUAAAACACUUGCUUAAAUUUUAAAUUUUUUAGAAAUCAAAAAAUAUAUAAAAAAUAUUUAAUGCAUAUAAGAAAACAAUAUAGGAAAUUGUAGAUAUUUUCUAAUAAAAUAUAACAUAUAAAUUUACAAAAUAUUUUAUUCUAAAUUUUUGAAUAAAUACGAUUUACAAAUUUUUAUUGAUUUAAAAUAAAUUAAAAUAAUUGUUACGUGAAUUUGCACAUACACUCAACUAGUAUAUAUAUAUAUAUAGAGAGAGAGAGAGAGAG
rnacentral:lncRNA from 1 species